AAUAUUGGACAAUGGGCGAAAGACUGAUCCAGCCAUGCCGCGUGUGUGAAGAAGGUCUUCGCAUUGUAAAGCACUUUAAGUUGGGAGGAAGGGCAGUUAGUUAAUACCUUGCUGUUUUGACGUUACCGUCAGAAUAAGCACCGGCUAACUUCGGGCCUGCAGCCGCGGUAAUACGAAGGGUGCAAGUGUUAUUCGGAAUUACUGGGCGUAAAGCGAGCGUAGGUGGUUUGUUAAGUUGGAAGUGAAAGCCCCGGGCUCAACCUGGGGACUGCUUUCAAAACUGGCAAGCUAGAGUAUGGCAGAGGGUGGUGGAAUUUCCUGUGUAGCAGUGAAAUGCGUAGAUAUAGGAAGGAAAACAAGUGGCGAAGGCGACCACCUGGGCUAAUACUGACACUGAGGUGAGAAAGCGUGGGGAGCAAAC
rnacentral:rRNA from 1 species